rnacentral:lncRNA from 1 species
CUUUGCAAUAGUUGGGAUGCACAUGUUCAGUUUUUCUUAUCAGGCACAAGUUCAUGAAAUUGUUCACAAACACGCAUGUUACUUUUUGCAAGGCACAGCUGCCAACGGUUAGGUCAGGAAACGUGUGGGAUUUGCCAUCCUCUGCAAGUAGCAUUUCUUGUUCACCAAGCCCAGAGCUAAUGAUGGCACCGACUGAAGGAGGAAUAAUGAGGACUGUUUUGUACAGCUGAACAUCAGAGUCAAAAGGUAGAAAUGUGUGUGGGAGGGAUAUGACUUCUGUGUUUACAAACUGUAUUAGUGUAUUCUGUACUUACGAGCUAUAGUUCCUACAUGAACUAUAUAUUCUGAAUUGAGAAUACCAAUUCUGUAAAACUAGAUCCAAAUCUGUGUUUGGGAACACUACUGUAAGUUCUGGGCAGUAGAGAAAAGGGGAUUGUGACAGCAUCUGGUGCCAGACUCGAGAGAUGUGCUGCUCUGUUCCUCCAAUGCUAGCAGAGUUAUCAGCUUUCUUGUGAGCAAGAUGCCUGUCUCCCCAUUAUUUUUUUUCCAUAGAAAUGCACAAUUCCCUGUUGACACUAUGGAAGAACUAACUUAGAGGACAUUUGUGCCACAGUCACAGAAAUUAUGAGAAUAUGAGUGUCAGCUGAAAAACUGAGCUCUGCUUACAAAUAGAAAACAUCACAAAUUCAGGCAUCCUCUUUUGCCUGAGCUUUUCGUUGAGGUUCAUUGAGGUCUGUGAUGUUCUAAAGUGAAGGGCUGGGCUGGUUACUCUUGUGAGGUGUGGCUGAAGUCCUGAUGUGCU